rnacentral:rRNA from 1 species
UUUCGCCGUUGGCGUGAGACGGUCGUGUGACGGAGAACGUUCGCGUUUUCCGCUCCUUCCGUUUUUCGAUCCGAUAGCGAACGCGUGCACUUUUCUCCUGGUAGGACGUCGCGAUCCGUUGGGUGUCGGUCUACGGCUCGCGGUGGAGCCCGAACGUACGGCUUGCCGUCACGUUCGGACCCGCGUGUCCCGGCUGACUCGCUCGACGGUAUACGAAAGGUUUAAGGCCGCUCUUAGAGCGUUCGGCUCGUCGCAAGCGCGCCUGAUGUGUCGGUGAUCGGACCUGGUGCCGGUUCUGACCUCUGGCGACUGUUGGCGGCGAUGUUCUCGAACAGACCUUUGACCGAUCUGCGACGCUAUAGCUUUGGGUACUUUCAGGACCCGUCUUGAAACACGGACCAAGGAGUCUAGCAUGUGCGCGAGUCAUUGGGAAUCACUAAACCUAAAGGCGAAAUGAAAGUAAAGGUCCGCCUCGCGCGGACUGAGGGAGGA